rnacentral:rRNA from 1 species
GAUGAACGCUGGCGGCGUGCUUAACACAUGCAAGUCGAACGGAAAGGCCCAAGCUUGCUUGGGUACUCGAGUGGCGAACGGGUGAGUAACACGUGGGUGAUCUGCCCCGCACUUCGGGAUAAGCCUGGGAAACUGGGUCUAAUACCGGAUAGGACCACUUCUUGGAGGUUGGGGUGGAAAGUUUUUUCGGUGUGGGAUGAGCUCGCGGCCUAUCAGCUUGUUGGUGGGGUAAUGGCCUACCAAGGCGUCGACGGGUAGCCGGCCUGAGAGGGUGUACGGCCACAUUGGGACUGAGAUACGGCCCAGACUCCUACGGGAGGCAGCAGUGGGGAAUAUUGCACAAUGGGCGCAAGCCUGAUGCAGCGACGCCGCGUGGGGGAUGACGGCCUUCGGGUUGUAAACUGCUUUCGCUAGGGACGAAGCGCAAGUGACGGUACCUAGAGAAGAAGCACCGGCUAACUACGUG